rnacentral:tRNA from 1 species
GGCUCGGUAGCUCAGUCGGUAGAGCAGAGGACUGAAAAUCCUCGUGUCGGCGGUUCGAUUCCGUCCCGAUCCACCAUUU